rnacentral:tRNA from 1 species
GCCUGGGUGGCUCAGUCGGUUGAGCAUCUGACUUCGGCUCAGGUCGUGAUCUCAUGGUUUGUGAGUUCGAGCCCCACAUUGGGCU